rnacentral:rRNA from 1 species
GAUGAACGCUAGCGGCAGGCUUAAUACAUGCAAGUCGAGGGACAGCACAGGUAGCAAUACUGGGUGGUAACCGGCAAACGGGCGCGGAACACGUACACAACCUUCCUUUAAGUGGGGGAUAGCCCAGAGAAAUUUGGAUUAAUACCCCGUAAUAUAGUUGAAUGGCAUCAUUUGAUUAUUAUAGCUACGGCGCUUAAUGAUGGGUGUGCGGCUGAUUAGAUAGUUGGCGGGGUAACGGCCCACCAAGUCUACGAUCAGUAGCUGAUGUGAGAGCAUGGUCAGCCACACGGGCACUGGGACACGGGCCCGACUCCUACGGGAGGCAGCAGUAAGGAAUAUUGGUCAAUGGACGCAAGUCUGAACCAGCCAUGCCGCGUGAAGGAUUAAGGUCCUCUGGAUUGUAAACUUCUUUUAUUUGGGACGAAAAAGGGCCUUUCUAGGUCAACUGACGGUACCAGAUGAAUAAGCACCGGCUAACUCCGUGCCAGCCGCCGCGUAAAAC